UUGGAAGAUUGUGGAGAAUGCAGGGGGUCAUGCCGCAACACCAAUGACAUCCUCGGCCUUCUGUGCAGGGAACACUUCCCUGGACUGGUUGAGUAUGCCGGAAUGACGGGCCCAGCCUACACCUUCGACCACUACGCCGGCGCCCCUGAUGCAGUAGAUCGGGACAACCAGGAAUUCAACAAGGCGCAGCGGGUGAAGCAAGAGAUGUGGAUAAGUCUUACUAUAUUGUAAAAUAUGUUGCAUUCGUUGCACAUUCUUAAAUAAUGUAUGGAUACAUCAUCUUUGUAUGCAGGAUUUCUUCAGAUGCGAGACUGGAUACGAGGUCAGGGUGGAUGUGGUGGCCACCAUGAGCUGUAAGAAGCUCGUUGUGGACAUGCACUACGAGGCGCGAAUCCAAGCCAUCGCCAGCUACCACGGCUCUGUCCUUAGGGAGAAGGUGACCAAGCAGGACGUCCGAACCAUGUUGUUGACUAGGGACUAGUACUUGCAGGUAAAUAUAGCACUUUAAUAUUUGUGACAAAUUUUGCUUAAUUUUAUCUUCUGAUAUGUAGUAUACUUGUUUUACUUUGUAGAUGAUUCCUUAUUGGUACGCCGCACAUCCUCAGUGAUGGGAGCAGAUGGUGGAUAGGUGGUGCUCGCCUGAGUGGGACGAGGCGCACAACUCUAGCCGGAAACAAUGUCUGAUGAUGCAAGGUCCCUCCGACCACCAAGGCAGUAGCAGCCUCGAUAAAUAUGCAGAAGUAUGGGUACACCCUCUUUUUUAUUUAGGUAUAUAACACUGGAUUAUAUAUUAUUUCUAAAUAUCUCGUUGGUUUUCUUGCAGUCGGUGUCACAUGGUGGCCAACCUUGCUCCAUCUUCUCGGCUUAUGUUAUGGCCCACAAGGGCAAGGCGACAUCUGACGUCACCUACAACCCGGAUGAUAGGCCCGAGGCGUAUAACAACCCCACCAUCUACUACCACCUAAGUGAGUACACUGCCAUUGCACAGGAGGUCCAUGGGCAAGAUUACGAUCUGAGGACCGAUGACAUUGACGGAGAUGUCCUCAUGAGGGACGGAGGAGGCAAGAGGCAUGGGCGGUACUGGAUUGCCGACGAAGCAACUGGCUCGUCGUCCACUCCCACUCUGUCUCAGGUGUGAGCACGGAGCACGAGCUCGAGCCUGUGGCAGAACCUCCCAAGUUAUUGGGCCCACAUGCACCUGUCCUUGUCUCAAAGACCUCAGACAACUAUGCAUGUGCACCAGAUAACUUAACAGGAUCCGUCCGAUUGCCCAAGGACAUCGGAUAAACCACUUACAACCAGAACCGCGGGAUUAAGUAACACAAAUCACACACACAACAUUUUUGCAGCGGAAAUCUUAUUACCAAAUUUUACAGGUUACAAAAAUUUUACAAUGUACAUGAUCGGAGUGAUUACAAGGUGAUUCAAAGAAAUAACUUUGAACUGUUAUAAAUUAUUUAUAGUUUUGAAAUAUAUGCUAGCUCAAGUGACCAUCCUCAAUAAGAAGAUAAAGACGGGGUAUACUUAUAUAAGAAGGCCGAGCCCACCGGCACUUAACACCAUCAACAGCAGCACAAAACUAUAACCUGAAAAACAACAGGGAAUAAAACCCUGAGUAUGGAAUUACUCAGUAAGACUUACCCGACUAAAGAAAAGACUCUCAAGGAUAUGCUGGAUUUGGGAAUCAAGGAGAGGCUUUAGCAAGAAUCAACUUAGAUACUUUUGCAGAAAAUAGCUUACUAAAGUGAAUCCUUACUUUCAAUGUUUUAACGCCGGAUUAAAUAUUAAUAGACUCUGUUUGCAUCUGGUCUAAUUUCACCAUCUCAUCAAUACAACAUCAUUUUUAUUCAUGAGGUUCACAUCCUUACUUAGGUUGUAGGGCAGUGACCAAGUCUUCAUAACCGCGAAGGUACGACGAUCCGAAUCGAUUAUACUCAGCUGAGGAUCUCCAAUCACACGACAUAUGUAGCACUUAACCCUUGCAUAUGUCAACCCGCCACCGGGGUUCUUAAGACCAGAUCAGGUUCAUGCGAACCGAGAGCACAGAUACACCACCGUCCAGUCUCUUGCCACGGAGGGUACACGCUACUCUCGCCACCGCUCCACGCCCAUUCCGUGUUAUCUUAUUCUGGCCUUAGUCUGCCCGAGGCAAAGCUUACCCAUGACGAGGCAUGUGACCAGUUAAAGGGUCCUCGAUCAUCAAGCCUACAUACGCAUCCAAUCCUUAAUCAACCUGGGUAAAACAUCACCUGUUCCUAGCCCAAGUUCCGAUUUAAGUACUUCCAUCCUUAGGAUUGUUUGUGUUCCUUAGGAUGAAAAGAGCAUCACAGGGAACUUUGCAGUAAGAUCCCACCAUGCUCCCAAUGAAAAUAUAUUCUUGUAGGUAGAAGCCAUCCUUCCUCAGGAUAACCCCUGAGCUAGACAGUAUUGCAAAAGACAACCUCUAUCCACAAGAUUUAAGCAGGGCUAAGCAUUUUUGUAAAUCAUAUUUUUGAUACUUCACCAGAAGUAUCUAUAAAGGUAUGGAUAUCAAGGAAGGCAAUGCAUCCAAGGGUUUCCAAGCAACUCUUAUAAACCUAAUGCACAUUCACUAGACUUAAAGUGUGUAAAAAUAAUUUAAAAACACAAGGAAGGGGUUGCAUGCACCGGAGCUUGCCUGGAAGAUACACUAGGUUAGUGUUUGUUAGACGAUGAGUAUCCUUCGACCGAGCACUUGCUUGAUUUAACCAUCUUCAGGUUGGUCCAUCAGCUUCAUCCUGCGGAUUAGCCCGCGCUUGGGGUCGACUUGGUUCGGGUUCUCCGCAUCACACGAUUAAUUAACGUACCUGAAUGGAAUGCAUUAUGCACAUGAAUGCAUAUCGACAUGAAUAUUACAAACCUAAAUAGUGCUACGCGAUGACGAAUUUAAACACCUAGCGGCGAGGCGUUGUACAAUUUUGUACGGAAUCACUAGUUAUUAAUAUACGACUACACGCAAUAAUUACGCUUCUCGAACCUAACGCAAACAUCACGAACCACAAACUAUACACAUGAAAGACAAUUAGCCUAAUCACAACUUAUCAAUUAAUUAAUUAAAUUCUAAACUUAUCCCUUACUUUAUAAAUUAUACUACAUCUUUAUAAAUGAUUAAAAUAUUUCAUCAACACGCUAGCACAUUAAUUUAUUUAACGAUCGAACUAUUCUAAACAAUUCAUCAGCUUACCGUUUCAACAGCUGACACGAAUCCGCGAGAUCGGUAGCGAUUUUCCGAUCCAAGCAAUUUGUCGAACGCUUGGGGAAUAUCGUGCUGCUAGCUUCGUCUUCACCCGAUUCUUGCGUAGACCUUUUUCCGAGCACCCGUCAAGCACCACACGGGAUUUAUUGCUUUAUCCGAAUUCUCGGGAUCGUUCGACGACGCAAGAGAUGUCGACCAGUUGGAGACUUGUAGGGUCGAGCACGACAAAGAGUUCCGAGGGUCGACAUAAGCAGCACGAAAUUGGAAAUCAAAUCAUCGGAGUCAAUAAGCACGUCGUGGGCAUAACGUGGGUCGACGACGAGGUCCAUGACGAGUGUCGCAAGGCAUGACAAAUGGGAAGGAGGCGAUGCACGAAUUUCAGAGCAUGGAGCUCACGGCGGCUUGAGGGAGACGGCCGUGGGAGGGACUUCGGUGAGCUGGAGCGGGAUACGGCCUGGGCGCGACGAAGGGAGCUGCGCGUUCAGAGCGAGCAGGGAGAAUCGACGGCGGGCAGUGAGACGGCAGAGGAAAUCGAGCAGGCAGGGGAGAGAGAAACAGGACACGCGCGGGAAGGGAUCUCGGCUGGGGCGUCGAGCACCGGGGCGCCAUCCAUGGAGGGGCUUGACCGGGCGCCGGAGCUUGGAGACGGACUGAGCAGGGAGGACGCUAAGCGCCAUGGGAGAUGGCUGGGUUAGCGGCGCUCGGCAAGGAGAAGCAGAGGACACCGGCGUCCAUGGUAGGGGCUAGACGCGAGCACAACAGAGCAGGGCGACAACGCGGUGGAGCAGAGGGUGCGCGCAGGCAACUUCGAAGCCGGGCGAGUGGGAGGGAGAAGACGGGGAGGGAAGUCGGCUGGAGCAAGGCAUCCCGGCGAGCUGCGCGCAGGGAAGGCACGCAGGGCGCGGCCCGCGCGACGCAGGGGGAGUUCGGCUGGAGAAUGAAGAGGAGCAGAGGGAUUCCAAGCGCAGGGGCUGAGGGAGAGAGAGAAGGGGAGCUCGCGGCAGCCAUCACCGGCAGAGGAAGCUCCGGCGAGGGAGAUCCACGAGCGGGGAAGCAAGGAGAUGGGCUUCGAGCUAAGCAG
rnacentral:lncRNA from 1 species